AAAGAAUUUGAUGGCAGUUUUGAAAAAUUUAGUUCGGAUCUGCAUAUUGGAGAGCAGAACGUACAGGCUCUCCUAUCGGCCUCAAUCAAAGUUGUGAAACUUUGCUUAUCGCAAGAAGGGUCGCCGAAAGGACUUUGCCCCGCCAUGGAACCAUGGUUCCUGACAAGAAGAAUUUUCGUACAAAAGGAAAAAAGGCUUGGACCAUAUAAAAUGGACACCCCUGGAGGACUCAAAGAUUCCACAAAGGUUUUACGACCCUGAAGGUUGGCUGGACGUGGAGCUGCCGAAAUUGACGGCUUUCGGCGUCAGUAACGCUGGUCUCACAGGCCCUUUUUGACUCUAAAGGUGCAUGUCAAAGGGCAUAAACAUAUAAAUCAUCUUCCUUUGGCAGUGCAAAAGUACGGCCACGGCAGCGCCCGUGUCUGAAGCCCUGAUUUAAGUUUUUUAAACGUUAAUUCUUCUGGAACGUGGAAUAAAUGCUACGCAGGGAGCCGCCGACAGUCAUUUUCCGGGAAAGGUGUAACUAUAUAUAAAGAGUUUGCAGAGUUAUAAAUUAUUUUAGUUAUAAUUGUGUAAAUUGAAAAUUACAAGCGAGCCCAAGUGCGCAAGCUUUACAUAUUUUUCAGAUUCAAUUGAAAAGGGCAACAACAACUGAUAAAGCAGGAAAAAGCUUUAUCAAACUUUCGAGUCUUUUUCUAAAUUUUACAUCCUCGAUCCUCAUAAAAAACCAUGACAAUUUUAAUACCGUAGCAGGGAUCGCAGCAGUUUUGUUGUUUGCUAACCAAUAAGUUGCU